UUUUUUCACUUUAAUCAAUGUAUAUGUAAACUCUCUUUCAACUCUUUACCAUAUGUAAAGCUAUUUUCUUCCUUUAUUUGUUGUGAACGACUCCUAUAAGAGAACACAAUUCGUUUAAUAUCAGUGAGUGUUUUUGGGCCCGUCCUUUGUUGUUUGAUGAACAUUAUACAUAGAGAUCUUUAUUAUGAUGCUGCCCCUUUAAGAGCUCGCGCAAUAUACUGGAACACGUGUUUUGUUUCCCAACUGUUUGGUCACGAAACAAACUGAAUACCUUUACAAUGUUUCUUGUUAAUAUGGGAAUUUUUAGGUUAUUUUGUGUUAAUAUGUCCGUUUCAGAGUAAGAAGUCGUGAAAGAGAACUGUGUGGAAUACUGUUGACCUGCUAUCUCUCCCUAAAAAAAGACACCUAAAAUGUUCAGUUAUUCAACUAUAUGAAGGGGUGGAGUGGAAUGUUAAAGAACUGAGCUGGCCAAGCCAAACAUCUCCAAAGGUCCUGAAAUUGAUUGGUGACAUUAUUAUCUCAACUCAGCAUUGUCCUCAUUCAACGUGGACCUGUUUCUGCAUUCAGUCAUGACGUUUAUGACAGAGAGUGAGAGAGAGAGAGACUGACAACACUCAUAGACGAGAGAGGGGCAUGUAAAGUAUGGACUGAAGAGAGCCAACAACUACCACGUUCACCUUGCCACUGCACAUGCAACAAAAGUCCUGUCCUGGGAUCCUGAUCUGCAAUAACUCAUUCCACCGAACCUGGCGGGAUCCUCAAUGUUCACAUACUGCUCCCUUGCCUCAACAACUACAGGAAGACAGCACCGUGGGAACAUCUUGACACCUUGCUUAUCUAUUAAGGUCACUUUUAUGCCGAUGGACUUUGGAAUUUUGUCUGACUGUGGACUGUGGGAGGAAGUCAGGGCAACCCUGGUAAUUCUAUUUAAGCACAUUCAUUUUAUUACUCUCAAACAUCCUGCUGAGCUGUAAGUAUCAUACUGAGG